UUCCCGGGCCUUGUACACACCGCCCGUCACACCACGAAAGUCGGUAACACCCGAAGCCGGUGGCCUAACCCGCAAGGGAGGGAGCCGUCGAAGGUGGGAUCGAUGAUUGGGGUG
rnacentral:rRNA from 1 species